AUUGAACGCUGGCGGUAUGCUUAACACAUGCAAGUCGAACGGCAGCACGGGUGCUUGCACCUGGUGGCGAGUGGCGAACGGGUGAGUAAUGCACCGGAACGUAUCCAAUAAUGGGGGAUAACGCAGCGAAAGCUGUGCUAAUACCGCAUACGCCCUGAGGGGGAAAGCGGGGGAUCGCAAGACCUCGCGUUAAUGGAGCGGCCGAUGCCGGAUUAGCUAGUUGGUGGGGUAAAGGCUCACCAAGGCGACGAUCCGUAGCUGGUCUGAGAGGACGACCAGCCACACUGGGACUGAGACACGGCCCAGACUCCUACGGGAGGCAGCAGUGGGGAAUUUUGGACAAUGGGCGCAAGCCUGAUCCAGCCAUGCCGCGUGAGUGAAGAAGGCCUUCGGGUUGUAAAGCUCUUUCGCAAGGAAAGAAAACUUAUCCGCUAAUACCGGGUGAGGAUGACGGUACCUUGAUAAGAAGCACCGGCUAACUACGUGCCAGCCGCCGCGGUAAAAC
rnacentral:rRNA from 1 species